rnacentral:rRNA from 1 species
UACGUAGGGUGCGAGCGUUGUCCGGAAUUAUUGGGCGUAAAGAGCUCGUAGGCGGUCUGUCGCGUCGGUCGUGAAAACUUGGGGCUUAACCCUGAGCUUGCGGUCGAUACGGGCAUGACUGGAGUUCGGCAGGGGAGACUGGAAUUCCUGGUGUAGCGGUGAAAUGCGCAGAUAUCAGGAGGAACACCGGUGGCGAAGGCGGGUCUCUGGGCCGAUACUGACGCUGAGGAGCGAAAGCGUGGGGAGCGAGCAGG